UGGUGAUGUAGCCCGGAAGCUGAGUCUAUUGCGAGGAUCUACGAGUUCCCAUCUGGCCCUGGGAAACCUGAAGGAGAUGAGAGAGUGAACCUUGUAGAUAUUGGGAGAAGGAUAUUCUUGGGAGAAGGAACAGAGAGAGCAAAGCACAGUUUUACGACCUAUGAUGUGACUAAAUGAGAAAUCAGAGCCAUGAAACAUGAACAAAAAUCAAGAAGAACAGAAUCUGCAAUCAAUUUGGGAAAGACGUUGAAAGUAAAAUAACUACUGAUGGAAGGAUUUGAAAUUGCUUUGAAAAAAUGGAAGCCGGCAUUUCUUAAUCAAUCUUGGGAUAGUUGGACACCUGAUUUAAAAGGACGACAGAUUGACUUCAGAAUCUGCAAAGGGGUCCCGAUCCAGGCCCCUAGAGAGCGUUCUUGGAACUCAUGCAAAAAAAGAAUUCAGGGCGAGUAUGUAAAGUGAAAGCAAGUUUAUUAAGAAAGUAAG